rnacentral:misc_RNA from 1 species
AAGUCGUAACAAGGUCUCCGUAGGGUGGGUUUUUUCCCGACUUCUAACUAAUAUCGAACGAAUGCUAACAGAUUUCUAGUGAACCUGCGGAGGGAUCAUUACUGAGUGAGGGUCUCUGACCCGACCUCCAACCCUUUGUGAUUAAAACCUCUGUUGCCUCGGGGGCGACCCGGGCCUCGUGCUCAGGGCCCCCGACGGACCAUUUCAAAACACUGCAUCUUUGCGUCGGAUUGAAUAAAGUAAAUUAAUUAAAACUUUCAACAACGGAUCUCUUGGUUCUG